UUUUUUUUUUCUCUUUCUCAAUCUAGUCAAAAACUACAAUCUUUAGCAUUUAAUUGGGUAAAAGCCUACAGGGUAUUUGGAGAUCAGGGCAUUUAAUUAUUCUUAGUUACCUAAGUAUGUCUAAACAAAAACAUUAUUGAGAAUACAACUUUUCAUAUCACACUAUUUCAGAAAAAAAAUACAUUUAUGUUUUAAUAAAUCAGAGAACUCAAUUGUUAAACCAAUAAAAGAUCUAAUGACAGUUCAACAGGCCCAUAUAAGAUAAAUGUCUGUUAGUCAUUGCACAUACCAACCUGCCCAUGAUAAAAUUAAAAGCUAAAUGUUUAUAAAGGACCAUAUGGAGUUCCCUGGUGGUUCAGUAGGUUAAUGAUACAGCAUUGACUACUGUGGCUUGGGUUACUGCUAUGGUGUGGGUUUGGCUGCUGGCCUGGGAACUUCCACAUGCCACAGGCACAGCCAAAAAAAAAUCUUUUAAUAAAUAAACUGAAAGGACCAUAUCCUGGGAGUUCCUGUUGUGGCUCAGCAGUAAGGAACCCAACUAGUGUCCAUGAGGAUGUGGGUUUGAUCCCCGGCCUAACUCAGUGUGUUAAGGAUCUGGUGUUGCCAUGAGCUGUAGUGUAGGUCACAGAUGCAGCUCAUAUCUAGGCUUGCUGUGGCGUAGGCUGGCUACUACAAGUCCGAUUCGACCCCACCAUCUGGCUGCAGUCACAGGAGUGAGCCCAGGAAAGAUCAGCAGAACCAUCCAGCAGAUGCCAGUCAGAAUUACUCACCCAUAGAAUUUUGAACUAAUAUGAGAUUUUUUUUAAUUUGAGGGGAGAUUUUUUUUUUUUUUACACAGCAAUAAAUAACUGAUAGGCCACAGUAACUCCAGUGCCAACUGACAGUAAUAGAAAUAAGAUGAAGGGGAAGCCAGCCUAGAAAGAAAUGGUGGUGAUCUUAGCAAACUGUGUUUGAAUAAAAAAUAUGUGAUCAUAUGAACACGUUGUCCAGGGCCUUGAAAGGGACAUGUGUAACUAGGAAUCUCUUAAUCCACACCUUCAUUCAAAGUAAAUGCUCCCUGGCAAGCAUUGUGCUUAAUUCUGAAACACUAAUAACAUCCUUCUUAGUGCCAUAGAGAAUAAAGGAAUGCAUGCUAUAACUUUAUAACUUUGUUCUAUAUGUCUGGCACUAUAAAGUAACAAUAAUGACAGUAUAUUUAACACUUGCUAUGUACCAUGCACCGCACUAAUCAUUUCACCUGUAUUGUUUCAAGCAUUUCACCUGGAUUAUUAUUACAACCGCCUCAUGAAGUAGGGACGAUAAUAACACUCUUCAGAUGCAGAAACCGAGGUUUAUAAUGGUUGUUAAUGGCCCAGAGCCAGAAUAUAUAAAGAACUCCUACAACUCAACAACUCAACAUGGAUUUAACAGCUUUCUGUUAAAUCCAUGUUCUCAACAACUACACUUUGCAAUGAAGGUAAGAUAAAUAAGAUAAAAUAAUUACUCUUUCCUGUAUUACAUUCCCUCCAUUAGAAGAGGAAUAUUUCACUCUUGGUUAUUACGCAUUUUCCCUAUAAUUGAAGGGGAUUUUUCUAAUGUAUUUUCUAGAUAUAAAGGAAAACAAUGUGUGUAUACACAUUUUUUAAGAGAUAAUCACCUUCCUGAUCUCUCCAAUAAUUUUAAGCUGAUGUUCUAGGAUUAUACUUGUAGACAAACACAUCAUCUGGAAACAGAGAUGAGUGCAUCUGUUUUCCCCCACAUAGACAAUUCUAGAGAAAUAACCGGAAAAUGAUGAGAACUAUUAGGACUAAAAGAGAAUUCAUUAAAGUGAAAUACAUGCUACAAAUAUUUUUUAACCUAGUUUUCUUCAAAGCCAACAAUAAAGUGAAAAAUAUAAUAGGAACAUUACAUUUAGAGUAGCAUUAAAAUAUAAUCUACCCAGGAAUAAUACAUGAAGUAUGCAAUGCCCAUGUAAGGAAAAUUUCAAAUAUUGAAUCUACAUUAAAAAUUGUACAAAUAGGAGUUCCCAUUGUGGCCUAGCAGGUUAGGAACCCGCAUCUGUGAGGAUGCAUGUUCAAUCCCCGGCCUUGUUCAGUGGUUUAUGGAUCCCGAGUUGCUGUGGCUGUGGCGCAGGCCAGCAGCUGCAGCUCCAAUUUGACCCUUAGCCCAGCAACUUUCAUGUGUCAUAGAUACAUCAGUAAAAAGAAAAAAAAAAAUCCUACACAUAAAUGACUUUAUAUAGUAAUUUCCUGUAUUUGAAGUUUGAAUAUUUAGCUGUUAAUUCUCCCCAAAUAACUCUAUGGGUUUAAUUCCAACCCAAUAAAAGCCUCAAAGUUGUUUAUUUAUUAGUUUUCUUGUUUGAAUUUUUAAAGGUGAUAUAUACAGGGUUCAGCAUAUCAAAGAUACCAUAUGGUAGACCAAAGAACCUAAGUAUAAGAGCUAAAUCUAUAAAACUCUUAGAAGAAAUCAUAGGGGGGAAGCUUCUUGUUGUUGAAUUUAGCAAUGAUUUCUUGGAUAGGACAGCAAAAGCAAAAAUUUUAAAUUAAAAAAAAAAAAAAAACUGGACCACAUAAAAAUUGAAAACUUCUGUGUGUCCAAAAGAUAAAAUCUAUAGAGUAAAAGGGAAACCUACAAAAUGGGAGAAAAUAUUUGAAAAUCACAUACACAAUAAAGGAUCAAGAUCCAGAAUAUAUAAAGAACUCCUACAACUCAACAACAACAAAAGACCUGAUUUAAAAAUGCCAAAGGGAUUUGAGUAAACAUUUCUCCAAAGAAGAUAUACAGAUAGCUAACAAGAACUUGAAAAGAUGUUCAAUAUCACUAAUCAUUAGGAAACUGCAAAUCAAAACUACAGUGAAAUAUCACUUCACACCCAUUAGGAUGGCUAUUGUCAAAAAACAAACCAAAACAAAACAAAAACCCAGAAACUCUCAAGUGUUGAUGAGGAUGUGGAAAAACUAGAACCUGUGUUCUAUAGAAACUUUUGUCACUACAGUGUUUCCUAAAAAGAAUUAAAAGUAGAAUUACUGAAGUUCCCUUGUGGCUCAGUGGGUUAAGGAUCUAGCAUUGUCACUGCAGUGGCUCUGAUUAUUGCAGUGGUGUGGGUUAGAUCCCUGGCCAGGGAACUUCCAUAUGCUGUGGGUGUGUGGACUAAUUAAUUAAUUAAUUAAUUUAAAAGGAGAAUACCAUAUGAUCCAGCAAUUCCACUUUUGCAUAUAUGCCCAAAAGCACCGGAAACCGGGUCUCGAAGGUAUAUUUGUACACCCGUGUUCACAGCAGAGUUAUUCACUAUAGCCAAGAGGUGGAAGCAACUGAACUGCCCAUUGACAUAUGGAGAGAUAAACAAAAUGUGGUAUAUAUAGAAUAUUAUUCAGCUUUAAAAAAGAAAGAAAUUCUGACAUAUACUACAACGUAGAUGAACCUGGAGGACAUUACACUAAAUGAACUAAACUAGUCACAAAAAGACAAAUACCAUAUGAUGUCAUUUUUUUUUAAGUAUUUUAUUUUAUUUUUUUGUCUUUUUUUUUUUUUUUUUUUUUUUUUGCUAUUUCUUGGGUCGCUCUCGCGGCAUAUGGAGGUUCCCAGGCUAGAGGUGUGACUUAAAAAAAUAAAAAUAAAAAUUAAGAAAUUAAAAUGAUUUUUAAAUGGAACUGUAAAACCCUUAGAAGACACCAUGGGGGUUAAUCUUCAUGACCACGAAGUAAGCAAUGGUGUCUUAGAUAUGACACAAAAAGAAUAAUCGACAAAAGAAAAAAUAGGAAAAUGCACUUUGUCAGAAUUUAUAACUUAUGUGCAUUAAAGGACACUAUCAAGAGAGUGAAAAGACAAUCCACAGAAUUGGAGAAAAUAUUCACAAUCACAUAUCUGAUAAAGGUCUAGUAUUCAGAAUAUAUAAAGAACUCCUACAAAUCUACAACAAAAAGACAAGUCAAUUUUUAAAAUGGCAAAGAACAUGAAUAGAUAUUUCUCCAAAGAAGAUCUAUAAACGUCAAAUAAGCACCUAAAAAGAUGUCAAACACCUUAGCCAUUGAGGAAAUGAAAAUUAAAGACACAAUGAGAUAUCCUAUAUUAUCUAUCAGAAGAGUUAAAAUAUUAAAGGGUGACAACACCAAAUGACGGUAAGGAUGUGAAAAACCUGAGUCACUCAUACAUAGCUAGUAAGACUGAAAAAUGAUAAAGCCAUUCUGGAAAACAGUUUGCUAGUUUCUUAUAAAACUAAACAUGUGGAGUUCCCAUUGUGGCACAGCGGAAACAAAUCCAACUAGUAUCCAUGAGGACGUGGGUUCAAUCCCUGGUCUCACUCAGUGGGUUAAGAAUCUGGCAUUGCUGUGAGCUGUGGUGUAGGUUGCAGACAGGGCUCAGAUCCCAUGUUGCUGUGGCUGUGGUGUAGGCUGGCAGCUAUAGCUUCAUUUCAACUCCUAACCUGGGAACUUCCAUAUGCUGUGGGUGUGACCCUGGAAAGAAAAAAAAUUAAAUAUGUGAUUAGCAUACAACUCAACAACUUCACUCUUAGGCAUGUAUCCUAAAUAAAUGUAAAAUUAUAUUCACGCACGCACACACACAAACUGUACAUGGAUGUUUAUAGCAGUUUUCCUUGUAAUACCUAAAAGCAGGAAACAACCCAAACGUCCAACAAAAGGUAAGCUGUUAAACAAGUUGCAGUACAUCUAUACCAAGGAAUAUUACUGAACAAUAAAAGGAGCAACUAUUGAUGUAUACACAAUGAUUUGGAUGGAUCUCAAGGGAAUUUUGAUGAGUUAAAGAAGCCAAUCCCAAAAGAUUAUGAUUCUGUUUACAAAGCAUUCUGAAAUGACAAAAUUAUUGUGAUGGAGAACAGGUUAGUAGUUGCCAGACAGUGGAUGAUCAAGUGAAGAAGGAAGGUGUUGGUGGCUCUAAAAGGAUAACACAAGGGAUUCAUGGAUGGAACUGUUUUGUAUUUUGACUACAGGUAGUCAUCACACAAAUCUACACAUGCAAUGAAACUGCACGACUAAUUACACAUAUGCACAUGAAUGAGUGUGUGCUGAACUGGUAAAAUCUGAAUAAGAUGAAUAGAUUUUAUUAACGUCAGUUUCCUGGUUAUGAUACCAUACUAUAAACUAUGUAAUAUAUAUGUAAUCUGUGUGACCCCUGCACUAGCAGCAUUACC
rnacentral:lncRNA from 9 species